rnacentral:rRNA from 1 species
AGCUCCAAUAGCGUAUAUUAAAGUUGUUGCAGUUAAAAAGCUCGUAGUUGAAUUUUAGGUCUGGUUGGAUGGUCUGCCCGUUGGGUACGUACUGUCUGGCCGGAUCUGACCUUCUGGUAACCACCAUGUUGCUUUGCAGCGUGGGUUCGGGAUUCCAGAUCUUUUACUUUGAAAAAAUUAGAGUGUUUAAAGCAGGCUUUCGCUUGAAUACAUUAGCAUGGAAUAAUAGAAUAGGACUUUGGUUCUAUUUUGUUGGUUUCUAGGACCGAAGUAAUGAUUAAUAGGGAUAGUUGGGGGCAUUAGUAUUUAAUUGUCAGAGGUGAAAUUCUUGGAUUUAUGAAAGACUAACUUCUGCGAAAGCAUUUGCCAAGGAUGUUUUCA